rnacentral:rRNA from 1 species
CCUACGGGUGACAGCAGUGGGGAAUAUUGCACAAUGGAGGAAACCCUGAUGCAGCAACGCCGCGUGAAUGAUGAAGGUCUUCGGAUUGUAAAGUUCUUUCCUCAGGGACGAAGAUAGUGAUGGUACCUUAGGAAUAAGCCUCCGCUAACUACGUGACAGCAGCCGCGGUAAUACGUAGGGGGCAAGCGUUAUCCGGAAGGACUGGGCGUAAGGGGGGCGUAGGUGGUUUGACAAGUCUGUAGUGUAACUCCGGGGCUCAACCUCGGCACUGCUGACGAAACUGGCGGACUUGAGUGCAGGAGAGGGAAAUGGAAGUCCUAGUGUAGCGGUGGAAGGCGUAGAGAUUAGGAGGAACACCAGUGGCGAAGGCGAUUUGCUGGACUGUAACUGACGCUGAGGCGCGAAAGCGUGGGGAGCAAACAGGAUUAGAUACCCUUGUAGUC